UUUUUAAUCUCUUCUCCUUUUCUUCCUUUCUUUUCCAGACAAGCUCCCUAGCCUGGGCUGGCCUUCAAUGCCUCAGUCUUCUGAGUGCUGGGAUUACUGACGUGCAACACCACGCCUGGCUGUAUCAGUAUCAUUGAGGGCGCCACGACCCCAAACCGGACCAGGGCUGUCCACUGGAGGCCAGUGCGGUGGACUAAGUGGCCUCAGCUUCUUCAUCUGGAAAGUGGGGACGUUAUGGAUUUCCAUACAAUGAUGAAGAUAAAACAUCGCAUGCCCCCGCACCAGGUGAAGACUCACAAAAGCCAAAGUCCUCAUUGUGCCCCAGAAGGCUCCAGCCACUCCAGCUUCUGCCAAUCACCUUGCAACCUCAGGCCCUUUGCACUGCCUGGAUCACUUCUGCUCCCAACUCCUCCCCCACUCCAACUCUGCAUGCCUUCUCUAAAAUCCCCCUUUCCUACCCCACAAGCCUCAUCCCCCUUCCCUGUUUCAUUUAUCUCUAAAAUUUUCACAACAU